AUGGCUUCCGCUGCGGCGUCGCGCCCCCCGGCCCCGCCGCCGCCGCCUCCCCCGCCCCCGCCGUCGGCCGCGAUGCAGUGGCUCGGCCCGCGCGUCUCCUUCAGCCUCGAGGACGCCGGCGGGUGCGCGGCCGCGGGGGGUGCGGGAGCGGGGAAGGCGAGCGCCGACUUCGAGUUCCUGCUCGCCGGGUGCUCCGCCGUGUCCACCAUGCUCCCCGCCGACGAGCUCUUCUCCGGGGGCAAGCUCGUGCCGCUCCGCCUCCCGUCUUCGAGCGGCUGUUCGUCGGAGGUGGUGGUGACCACGCGGCCUCCGCCGGCGCCGGCGACGACAACGCAGCAGCAGCAGCCCGAGACGCCGAGGGCGGAGGAGGAGACGAAGGAGGCGGUGGUGGAGGCGGAGCAGGCGGCGGAGGAGCCCAAGGUUCCGGCCAGGAGGUGGAGGGACCUGCUCCGGAUGCGGAAGCAGCAGGCGUCGUCGUCGUCCUCCUCGUCCACAGAGACCAAGCAGCCGCUCCGCCGCCUCCUCCGCCGCGGGCCGAAGCCGCCCGAGCAGGAGCCGUCCCUCAGCCUCCCGCUCCUCCGCGACCCCAACGAGCCCGCGCCGGCACCCGCAUCGGCCCCAACUCCAUCACCGACCCCGCCGCCUCCCGUCAGCACGUCGCAGCACCAGCUGCCGCCCAAGAUCCGGCUCACGGCGGCGCAGGCGGCCGCGCCGCCACCCCCGCCUCCGCCUCCUCCGCCUCCCCCCUCCGCCGUGGCCGCCGACAGCCCGCGCCUGAACGCGGCCGGCAAGGUGGUGUUCAACGGGCUGGGCCGCAGCUCCAGCAGCCCGAGCAGCCUGGCGGGCGGGCGGCGCCACCGGUCCGGCUCCGGCGGCAGCGGCAUGGAGCGGUCCUACUCGGCGCACGUGCGCGUGACGCCGGUGCUGAACGUGCCCGUCUGCCGCAAGUCCGUCUCCGUGUUCGGCAUCGACCGGCUCUUCUCCCCGUCGUCCGCGUCCACCGCCGCCGCCGCCCACGCCGCCGCCAAGAAGCAGGGGAAGGUGGCCAAGAAGGAGGCAACCGCACCACCACCACCACCAUCCUCCUCGCAUUAA
rnacentral:rRNA from 1 species